rnacentral:tRNA from 1 species
GGAUGGAUGUCUGAGUGGUUUAAGGUACUAGCCUUGAAAGCUGGCGUAUAGUUUUCUAUACCGGGGGUUCGAAUCCCUCUCCAUCCG